UGGUACGUUACUUCACUGUUUAUCUUAAGCUGACAAGUUUAAAAAAAUAGCUAGAACCUUGACUUAAAGAUUCAUUAUCAUCAUAAGCACAUCGAGCCCCUGACUAGCUACAUGAUGAUUCACCAUAUACUGAGUAAUAUUUAUAUCUAGUUUCACUGGUGCACGGCGACCUCUUUCUUGGAUAUUUCAUUUUUAUGUUAUCAUAUGAAUCUGAAUCAUUAGAUAUAAAGUGUUUCUUCUGUUUAGUUUUACUGCUUGAUUGCUUUAGUUUUACUGUCUGUUAUCUUUCAAGUGUCUGCCUCAUCAACUUCCCAUGGUAGAUUACGCACCUACUAUGGUCGCAACAGAUGACGUAGAAUCAGGGUUCGAUUCGGGAUAGAGAGCCUGAGAAAUGGUUACCAGAUCCAAGGAAGGCAGAUAAAGACGAAAAAUAACAGUGCGGGACUCUUUUGAAACUCCAUAACUGGAAUGAGCUCACUCCAAAUCCUUUAACGAUGAUGAAUUGGAGGGCAAGCCUGAUACCAGCAGUCGCGGUAAUUCCAGCUCCGAUAGCGUAUA
rnacentral:ncRNA from 1 species